rnacentral:lncRNA from 1 species
ACCCUAAAAUCCCAUUCUAGGGUUUCAUCUACCACAAAGCAACAAAACUCCAAUCUAGAGGGAGAGAAUGAGCUACUAACCUUUUAGAAGCCUCAAACAAGAUCCAAAGUCCUCCAAGUGUGGAGAUCUCCCUUCUGUCAAGCUCUAAAUCCAAGGUCCAAGCCAACAAAAGAAAGAAGAGAGGGUGUGGGUGAAGAUCCAAGCCUCCAACAAGCUCUCUUCUUCUUCUUCUUCCUCUCCUUCUUCUUCUUCUCUCUCUAGGAGCAAGUGGGAUGGUGGAAUGAGGGAGAAGAGAAGGAGAAGUGGCCAUAUAGGCCCUCUAGUGUAACAAAAUCCAACUGAGUCCCUCAACUUUGCACCCUGUGCAAAGCCCGGACUGGGCAGUUUUCGGAUUGAGGGACCGGUCUCCCCGACAUGGGACCGGUCUCUUGGCCUGCUCUUAGAAAAUCC